ACAUGAGCCGAGAGGCGUCCUCGCCAGUGUAGAAUAAGAUACUAUUUAAAUACGAUGAGCAGCAAAAAUAUAGGUGCUGAAUAUUGUAAACGAGAAAAUGAGGCUCGAAUCAUUCAAGAGAUAAAAGCUAUACGAUAGCUUGCGCGAUUCGUACGAAUCUAACAUUGAAAAAUCCUACAGCAGAAAUCUUCAGUUCAAUCAGCAAUGAUCUGUCGUUUGCUGCUCAUUUUGUUCGUAAUGAACUGCAGUACCGUUUUCUGUGCGUUGUACGACGAGCGCCACGUUUGUGGUUUUCCAAUUGGAAGAUUCGUAGAAUGGUUUGAUGAGUGCACCGCUGUAUGCAGAACAUGGACGGAUUUGGACCGCCAAUGGUUUGACCACCGCGUUACGGCUGUUGGCAAGCCCUGCGGACUCAACAAGGCGGGCAGGUGCCAAGAUCGUUUGACAGAUUACGUGGACUAUUUUGAAAUGGGUGGAAGAUGUGCGCUUGCUUAACGAAGGACACAUCACGUAACUACGUUUCCCGUUUGCGUUAUUUCCGCGCAGUUUUGGAACAUACUCAUAUACACAAUGACUCGUCACUUUAUUGUGGCGUUUAUUUUUAUCUGUGUCGUUCUGGGUGGCCCACAGUUGCGCAUGGACGAGGAUUACGUUUGUAACCCGCCACACGGCAUCUUCAUUGAAUGGGAAGAUUCAUGCACUGCAGUCUGUCAAAAAUGGUUUGAUAGAAUUGGGCUUUGGCUAUAUACAAGGGAAGUAGCUGUAGGAAAAGCAUGUGGUCCUCGAAAUCGCGGUAGAUGUCGAAGGGUUACUCGGUUUGAGGAAGAGCUUGCUUUCGGACGACCAGGAGAGUGUUUUGAAAAAUAGCGCGAUUACAAUAUGAAUACACGUAACUCCUAAAAAUGGGCCUUGCUACUCUACUGUUGCUACAAUUCCAUUAGCAUCAAUACCUAUAUCAGGCCAAUAUGGUUAGCUAAAAAAGAUGUUUGUUUCUCAGUUUUUCGCAUGUUAUCGAUUAGCAAACGUUUGAAGAACACAAUUAUUUAUGAUAUGAAAUUUAUAUGAAAAUCACUUGAUUCUCUGUUACUUUGUUAGAAAAUACCUGUCCCUAAAUCAAAUCAAAUAUAAUUCAUGUGGCGCAUAUAGUUGAUAUUCGGGAUGCGAAACAUCGACGAACGGUGUAACUAGAACAUGUCCUGCAGUAGCCUAAUGUCAAGUCAGGACGGACGUCCUGGAUAGAAUCGAAAUUUGUAAUGUUUUCUUUAAGAAAACUGUUUAAACAAGAGCAGAAGUAUCUCUAUAGAUUUCCUUGCAUUUACUUAAUACUUCCUGACACUGAAUUUCCAUUGAAUUUAGUUUCAUCGUUCACCUGGACUCGAGCUUUGACUAAGGACCUACUACUAGGACCUACUAAGGAACUACUCACUAGUUAUUAUCAAAAUAUUCCUUCUCUUUCAACGGUAGCAAAUAGUCUCCGUAGAAAUUUAAAUAUAUUCGGACUGAUAGAGAGCCAAACGUUCUAAAAGUACGAGAAGUCAAAAUGGCCAAAAAGUCUACAAAUGCAGAAAGCGGAAAAUUUGUGGCCGUUGGAGAUUGUACGGAGAAGCCAAUUGCUAAUGGGUAUUCGUCUUUUAAGAACAGUCGCUAUAUUCUCUGAGAAAAUAAGUUUUUAAGCACUUUCUGGUCGUUAAACCGAAUCUGUAUUCAUUAAACAUAUCAUGUGAUGUCCCAUAAAAAUCUUCUCGGGAUUUAUCUCGCGUGAAGAAAUUGGUGGUCUUCGCGCAAAUUGCGGAAACAACGACGUGUCUUACGCCAUAAUCAGUUUGCAGCGGUGGCCUUGACAGAAUUGGCCUCCCUUAAUUUCAGGCGCAACAGAUGAACGAACGACGAGUACGGCGAACCUAUUGUAAUUUAGACGGCAUAUCCUGUACGCAUAUCGUUUAGCCCUGUUGAUACGCGUCAUUCACGAACGUGGCUAAACAAUAUCCCAGUCACAUUCUUUAUACUG